UGGAUUAGAUACCCUACUAUUUAUAAACUAAAAAGUUUAAAGAGUAAGAGAUAUAUUCUCGAAAAUUAAAAGAUUUGGCGGUAUUCUAUCUAAUUAGGGGAAUUUGUCUCAUAAUAGUCCCUACACUAUUUACCUUACUUAUUUUGUGUAUGUAUACCAUCGUUUAAACAACCUUUUUAAAGUUAGUUAUCAACGAUUACUAAAAUUUCAGAUCAAGGUGCAGCUUAGAUAAGUGAAGACAGGUUACAAUUCAGCCAUUAGCUAGAUAGAUUAGGCAGAAAAUCUAUAAAAGAUGGAUUUAAUAGUAAUAAAUAAUUAGAAUGUUUUUAUGAAUUAGAACUAGAAUAAGUACACAUCGCCCGUCA
rnacentral:rRNA from 1 species